CUUCUUCAGAGCAUGCAGUGAAGCCAGAACAUGUGAUAGAUUUGACCUGUUAUAACAUCUCUGUUUCUGAAACAGCUUUUGACUUGAGCCUGCAUAAAAAUAUUUGCUGAUUGAAGAGCCUUCUUGUGUGACCUAUGGCCAAUCAAGCAUGAACAGUAAUGCAUCAGAUCAGCUCAAUGCACUGAGAACAAUGUGUCAGUAUGAGAGUGAAUGGAGGCUGAGAAGAAAGCAGAGAGAGCAGCAAAGUACAGCUGCAGAAUAAAAACAGUUAAGUAAAAUUUACAGUAUAUCUUUAUUGCAUUAAAAUAUGUUAUAAUUUCACUAAGUACUUACAAUACACAGAUUUUAAAUAUUAUGAAUAUUAUACGUACUAUAAAUAAAAUGCAUAAUAAUUCCAGCCGAUGAUGGGUUUCAGAUGAACUGACUCUUUAUACCUCAUCACUGUGCCCUCUCCAAAUCUGAUCCUUGUCCUGACCUGUGAAUUUACUUCUUGGCUUGACCUCAGGCCUUCUGUAUUACCAUGAACCUACCCAAUCAUUCUGGAUGCUAUGUUGAGCUUGGAUACCCUUUCCAGGUCCACUCUGUUCACCUCCUUCAGCACUGUGGGAUCUGAGCACUGGAUGAUGUGCCCUGCCACCCGUUUUUUGUGCUCAGCCCUACUCUUCCCACAAUUCAUGCAUCUGCCAGUGCUCCCUAAAAAAUCUUGCCAAAGCAUAUCUGAUGCUGUUGCUUCUUCAGAUGACUUCGUUCAGCUUGCAGCAAAGCUCAAAAUAUUUAUAUUACUUUUCCAAGGCUCUCUAUGGGGACUUGAUAUUAAUUUAUUUUCUGCAUAGAUUAUCAUAUAUACUUUAUUUACUGUGGUAUACUUUAAUGUUUGGUAACACAUGUAGCAUUUUCUGUGCUCUGUGGUGAAUUUACCUGGAGAAUGGGUCAAAAUUACCAGAAUUGGACCUAAAAUGAGGUCUGAAUUUGAUUCUACUGAAUCCUUCUGUUUGUUAUUUAGGAUUAUGCUAACCACAAGUUGAGG
ensembl:lncRNA